AUUGAACGCUGGCGGCAUGCUUUACACAUGCAAGUCGAGCGGCAGCGCGGGGGCAACCCUGGCGGCGAGCGGCGAACGGGUGAGUAAUGCAUCGGAACGUAUCCUGUAGUGGGGAAUAACUCACCGAAAGGUGAGCUAAUACCGCAUAAGCUCUGAGGAGGAAAGCGGGGGACCGAAAGGCCUCGCGCUGCAGGAGCGGCCGAUGUCCGAUUAGCUAGUUGGUGAGGUAAAGGCUCACCAAGGCGACGAUCGGUAGCUGGUCUGAGAGGAUGAUCAGCCACACUGGGACUGAGACACGGCCCAGACUCCUACGGGAGGCAGCAGUGGGGAAUUUUGGACAAUGGGCGAAAGCCUGAUCCAGCCAUUCCGCGUGCAGGAUGAAGGCCCUCGGGUUGUAAACUGCUUUGUACAGACGAAAAAGACUCUUUCUAAUACAGAGAGUCCAUGACGGUACUGUAAGAAUAAGCACCGGCUAACUACGU
rnacentral:rRNA from 1 species